GGGGUUUCGCUCCCCUUUCCUUCCGCUAGUCCCGACGAAGAUUCAAAAGGGACCCGACAACACUAAGGCGCGCAAAGGCACCACCGUGACGCUGACUGCGGAGAUCCUGGGAGAGCCUGCGCCCGACGUAGGCUGGACCAAGGACGGGGAGGACAUCGAGGAGGAUGACAGGGUGUUCUUCGAGAUCGGCAGCACCACCACGACGCUGACCAUUCGCCGGGCCACGCCUCAGGACAGCGGCAAGUACGAGGUGUACGUGGAGAACAGCCUGGGCAUGGACCAGAGCUUCGCUCGCGUCGACGUGGCCUGAACGGCACCCCCGGACCUUCCGCCCUGGCGCCGAGCCCGGGGGUGGUGGGACCCACAGCCCUCCACCAGCUUGCUUAAUAAAGCUGCUCUCUGACCCUC
rnacentral:lncRNA from 1 species